GUGCUUGCUUUGGCAGCACACAUACUAAAAUUGGAAUGACACAAAGCAGAUUGGCAUGGUCCCUGCACAAGGAUGACAUGCAAAUUCGUGAAGCACUCCAUAUUUUG